GACGAACGCUGGCGGCGUGCUUAACACAUGCAAGUCGAGCGGUAAGGCUCCUUCGGGAGUACACGAGCGGCGAACGGGUGAGUAACACGUGAGCAAUCUGCCCUUCACUUUGGGAUAACUUUCGGAAACGGAAGCUAAUACCGAAUACAACCAUUACAGACAUCUGUUGAUGGUGGAAAGUUCCGGCGGUGAAGGAUGAGCUCGCGGCCUAUCAGCUAGUUGGUGAGGUAACGGCCCACCAAGGCGACGACGGGUAGCCGGCCUGAGAGGGUGACCGGCCACACUGGGACUGAGACACGGCCCAGACUCCUACGGGAGGCUG
rnacentral:rRNA from 1 species